AGAACUUUCUGUUACUUGAUGAACUACCACAGUGCAAUCAUCAGCUGCCAUCAGAGGGUAAAACAGUUGUGAACGUGCAAGAUUUCACUGCUUUCUGGGAUAAGGAAUCAAGAACCCCAACCCUACAAGGCCUUUCCUUUACUGUCAGACCUGGUGAACUGUUAGCUGUGAUUGGACCUGUGGGAGCAGGAAAGUCCUCACUGUUAGGUGCUGUACUGGGGGAGCUGCCCCCGAGCCAGGGGAAGGUCAGCGUGCAUGGGAGGAUCGCGUAUGUUUCUCAGCAGCCCUGGGUGUUCUCAGGAACUGUGAGGAGUAACAUUUUAUUUGGGAAGAAAUAUGAAAAGGAACUAUAU